CGUCCCCAGCCCCCCCGCACACCUAACAGCCCCUCCCAGAGCAUCAGAGCCCCGGGCCCGGCAGGCUGCACAGGCUGUGGGUGCCAAGGUAGGAAUGGUCCCUCCCACAUGCGAGGGGGCGUCUGCUCCGGCGAGAGGGGGUCUCAGUUCCCGUCCCCUUGCCCCUUCCCAGGGCGCCUUGUGCAAACCCCGGCACCCCCCAGCCCUCUACGUGCACCCACUGGUGCCCGCCACACUGGGAUCCUGUCCUGGCUGGCGUGGGAGGUAGGAUCGCAGGCCCAGGACAAGGCGCGGAUGUGCCGCUUUGCUCCAGACGUGCCAGGCCAGGCCUCAUGGCAGGGGAACGCCGCCGGGGAGGUUUGCAGGUGUCACAGGCUGGUGUGCCUGGAAAACCCAACAGCCUCCGUGGAGUCACCAGAAAAGGGAGUCGAGCAGCGCGUAUAACAGUAACACCCAGAAAUAAAUAGCUUUCAUAUAUCCAGACAGUAGCCAGUCGGAAGAAAAAUUGGCAGAGGAUCUUCUACCCGCAACAGCAACAGAAGAGCUAAAAUGCCCGAGAAAUGUGCGAACCCACGGGGAGCUGGGCCCGAGCACGGAAAACCCUCGACACCAUCCAGAGGCCCGUUGUCCCCACGUUCACCUGUAGACAUGACACGAUCCCAAUAAAAACCCACAUCUGUGCAACUGAGCAGCUCAGACGGAGAAAUCGCAAGCCGGCAGGAGCCAAAGAAACCAAGAAAAGAAAGUGAAAGAGGAGCAGCUUUCUCAGAUGAACCACUCGUGAUGGAGACGGAUGGAGGCGCCCGCGCGCCCGAGGACGUGGGGACACGCUGACGUGGUCAGAAAGGGCGUUCACGGCCACCCAUACAGGCAUCCAUCACCGGGCUGUGGGGACAUCGCAGGGACGUCUACUGCAUCUCCGCGUCCUGCUGCCUGUUGCCCACAUCACUCUCACUUCUCACGCCGUGGACCCCGCACAGAUCCCAAAUAGAACUAUAAAUGAGAAACCCUGCAAGACGCAGAGGGCAGGGGCGAGUUCCUUCACGGAGGAGCAGGAAAACCUUCCUAAUGCUGCCUCGAAAUCAGCAGCAUAAAGAGAAGGUCGAGACAAAUUGGAAAACACUUUAAUGUGGCAAAAAAAAAAAAGUGUCAAAGCGA